GGGGGAUUAGUGGCGAACGGGUGAGUAACACGUGAGUAACCUGCCCUUGACUCUGGGAUAAGCCUGGGAAACUGGGUCUAAUACCGGAUACGACCAUCUGGCGCAUGUCAUGGUGGUGGAAAGCUUUUGUGGUUUUGGAUGGACUCGCGGCCUAUCAGCUUGUUGGUGGGGUAAUGGCCUACCAAGGCGACGACGGGUAGCCGGCCUGAGAGGGUGACCGGCCACACUGGGACUGAGACACGGCCCAGACUCCUACGGGAGGCAGCAGUGGGGAAUAUUGCACAAUGGGCGCAAGCCUGAUGCAGCGACGCCGCGUGAGGGAUGACGGCCUUCGGGUUGUAAACCUCUUUCAGUAGGGAAGAAGCGAAAGUGACGGUACCUGCAGAAGAAGCGCCGGCUAACUACGUGCCAGCAGCCGCGGUAAUACGUAGGGCGCAAGCGUUAUCCGGAAUUAUUGGGCGUAAAGAGCUCGUAGGCGGUUUGUCGCGUCUGCUGUGAAAGACCGGGGCUCAACUCCGGUUCUGCAGUGGGUACGGGCAGACUAGAGUGCAGUAGGGGAGACUGGAAUUCCUGGUGUAGCGGUGAAAUGCGCAGAUAUCAGGAGGAACACCGAUGGCGAAGGCAGGUCUCUGGGCUGUAACUGACGCUGAGGAGCGAAAGCAUGGGGAGCGAACAGGAUUAGAUACCCUGGUAGUCCAUGCCGUAAACGUUGGGCACUAGGUGUGGGGGACAUUCCACGUUUUCCGCGCCGUAGCUAACGCAU
rnacentral:rRNA from 1 species